rnacentral:rRNA from 1 species
AUUGAACGCUGGCGGCAGGCCUAACACAUGCAAGUCGAGCGGAUGACGGGAGCUUGCUCCUUGAUUCAGCGGCGGACGGGUGAGUAAUGCCUAGGAAUCUGCCUGGCAGUGGGGGGCAACGUUUCGAAAGGAACGCUAAUACCGCAUACGUCCUACGGGAGAAAGCAGGGGACCUUCGGGCCUUGCGCUAUCAGAUGAGCCUAGGUCGGAUUAGCUAGUAGGUGAGGUAAUGGCUCACCUAGGCGACGAUCCGUAACUGGUCUGAGAGGAUGAUCAGUCACACUGGAACUGAGACACGGUCCAGACUCCUACGGGAGGCAGCAGUGGGGAAUAUUGGACAAUGGGCGAAAGCCUGAUCCAGCCAUGCCGCGUGUGUGAAGAAGGUCUUCGGAUUGUAAAGCACUUUAAGUUGGGAGGAAGGGCAGUAAGUUAAUACCUUGCUGUUUUGACGUUACCGACAGAAUAAGCACCGGCUAACUCUGUGCCAGCCGCCGCGGUAA